GGCGGCGGCGGCGGCAGAAGCGGCGCGGGCUGUACCCGCCCCACCUGCCUGCCACCUGGGGGCCCCGGCGGCGGACGGCGACGGGUCUGAGGCGGGGCUCCCCUCCGGUAGCCAAUCGACCGGCCGCCCUGGCGGGGGCGUGGCAAACCUCGACCAAUCGAAGUCCGGGAAAGGGGAGGGACUUCCCUUUUAAACUUCGUAACACCCUUCCUCUCUCCGCUGAGGAAAAGUUUGGGAACUUUAGCCCGGGAAGGGGCGUGGAGAGGGAGACGCGCAGGCCGGGCUCCGGGCCACCGGCGCCCGCCCACCGGGACCGUGGACUUUAGGGUCUAGAGAGAGCAUGGGGUCCCACCUCUGCCGCCUCUCGUCUUCCCCGACUCCCGUCCUCUUCCCACCCACGCGCUCUUUCCCAAGUGAAGUUCCUUCCCUUCCGUCUGGUCUCAGAAAUGACUCUUGGUUACCUGGACACAGACCAGCUUUCAGAAGUCCCUUCUCUACACGCCUCAAGAAUUCCAGAAACAAACAGUCUCGAAGGAAUAAGGACAGUGAGCAGUGGAAUGGACAACCCCCUCAACUAUAAGAAAUGUCUUUGCUGGGUGUCCAGAGAGUUCAUUCCUCCAGCAAGUGUUGGUUGCCAGAUGAUGUGUGAGAUGAUACUGAGAAAUCAGCAUGGAACAAGUAAACACACAAAGGGAGAUGGGCAAUGAAGAAACAGCACUUUUGGAAAUUUGAGGACCUAUAAGAAGAUACGAAAUAGCCGAUAUUCUUCAGUCUUACAAUUCCAAAAUAUCAACUUGGUCUGCCUGAUUUAUGAAAUACUCAAUGUGAUUCUGAGAGUAUGAAGAAUUUCUCAAUUAAUAAUUUCUCAGUCUUUCUACCAGCAAAGGGAUUCGCUGGUCCAGUGAUUGCCAGUAUCUAAGCCACCAAAUAGCAAAUGCUUGAUUCAUGUUCCUAAGCUAUAGAAGGAUUGGCCAAAACAUUUCCUCCCCAGAGCACCACAUCUCACCCUUUUCUGUGUGUAUACCCCACAGCACAAAGUACUGCUAUUACUAUUACUACACAAUGACUAAAGUUUCCACUGAGCUAAGUUCUUUACAUGUAUUUCUUUUACUAUUCCCAGCAAAGAAAUGAGCAAAAUAGACUACUAUUAUCCAAGUUUUAUGAAUGAUGACGCUGAAGCUUCCAAAUGCUACAUUAUAUCAAUAUUAAAGACCAUGCAGUUAUCCAUGAAAUGCAAAGGACAGAUAAUUAACUAUUAUCAAUCACGCCAUGUCGUUAUGAGUGGAGUUGUUUAAAUAAGUGUCAUAUGAAAACCCAGUAAGGUAUUUAUGCUUGUAAAUAAUUUGCCCAUAUUAAAAAAAAAAAAAGACUUGAUUGAAAUGAUUUAUACCUAUAAUGAUUCACUAUAGAAAGUUAAAAGAGGCUAAGUACAGUGGCUGACACUUGUAAUCCCAGCACUUUUGGAGGCCAAGGUCAGG